GGACUACUGGGGUUUCUAAUCCUGUUUGCUACCCACGCUUUCGUGUUUCAGCGUCAGUUACGGUCCAGAAAGCCGUCUACACCACCGGUGUUCCUCCUGAUAUCUACGCAUUUCACCGCUACACCAGGAAUUCCACUUUCCUCUCCCGCACUCUAGCCUCUCAGUAUUCGGCGCACCCUCCCGGUUGAGCCGGGAGAUUUCACACCAAACUUAAAAAGCCGCCUACACACCCUUUACGCCCAGUAACUCCGAACAACGCUUGCUGCCUACGUAUUACCGCGGCUGCUGGCAC
rnacentral:rRNA from 1 species